UAUACAUGCAAGUCGAACGAAGUCUUCGGACUUAGUGGCGAACGGGUGCGUAACGCGUGGGAACCUGCCCUUAGGUUCGGAAUAACAGUUAGAAAUGACUGCUAAUGCCGGAUAAUGUNUUCGGACCAAAGAUUUAUCGCCUUUGGAUGGGCCCGCGUAGGAUUAGGUAGUUGGUGUGGUAAUGGCGCACCAAGCCGACGAUCCUUAGCUGGUCUGAGAGGAUGAUCAGCCACACUGGGACUGAGACACGGCCCAGACUCCUACGGGAGGCAGCAGUAGGGAAUAUUGGACAAUGGGCGAAAGCCUGAUCCAGCAAUGCCGCGUGAGUGAUGAAGGCCUUAGGGUUGUAA
rnacentral:rRNA from 1 species